AGAACAUUAGCUCUUCAAAAUGUGAUAUGCUAUAACAUCAAAAUAAAUAUUUGAAAUUUGAAUGCAUUUUUAUAAACGCGAAAUAUUUGUAAACAAUGCAUAAAGCAAUU